rnacentral:rRNA from 1 species
UACAGAGGGGGCUAGCGUUGUUCGGAAUUACUGGGCGUAAAGGGCGCGUAGGCGGCCUGUUAAGUCGGACGUGAAAUCCCCGGGCUCAACCCGGGAACUGCGUCCGAGACUGGCAGGCUCGAAUCCGGGAGAGGGAUGUGGAAUUCCAGGUGUAGCGGUGAAAUGCGUAGAUAUCUGGAGGAACACCGGUGGCGAAGGCGGCAUCCUGGACCGGUAUUGACGCUGAGGCGCGAAAGCCAGGGGAGCAAACGGG